UWAASGGWWRGAGUGCUAGGUGUUGGAGGGUUUCCGCCCUUCAGUGCCGGAGCUAACGCAUUAAGCACUCCGCCUGGGGAGUACGACCGCAAGGUUGAAACUCAAAGGAAUUGACGGGGGCCCGCACAAGCGGUGGAGCAUGUGGUUUAAUUCGAAGCUACGCGAAGAACCUUACCAGGUCUUGACAUCUUGCGCCAACCCUAGAGAUAGGGCGUUUCCUUCGGGAACGCAAUGACAGGUGGUGCAUGGUCGUCGUCAGCUCGUGUCGUGAGAUGUUGGGUUAAGUCCCGCAACGAGCGCAACCCUUGUUACUAGUUGCCAGCAUUAAGUUGGGCACUCUAGUGAGACUGCCGGUGACAAACCGGAGGAAGGUGGGGAUGACGU
rnacentral:rRNA from 1 species